ACCUAUGACCAAAUUACUCGGAAUGCACCAAAUCUCGUUACAUCUUGGAAGCUAGACAGAGUUAAGCCUGGAUAGUGCUUGGAUGGGCGACCAUCAUGCAUAACAGGUGUUAAAGGCU
rnacentral:rRNA from 1 species